AUUGAACGCUGGCGGCAGGCCUAACCCAUGCAAGUCGAACGAGUUGCGGACGGGUGAGUAAUGUCUGGGAAACUGCCCGAUGGAGGGGGGUAACUACUGGAAACGGUAGCUAAUACCGCAUACCAUCGGAUGUGCCCCGAUGGGAUUAGCUAGUAUGUGGGGUAACGGCUCCCCUAGGCGACGAUCCCUAGCUGGUCUGAGAGGAUGACCAGCCACACUGUAACUGAGACACGGUCCAGACUCCUACGGGAGGCAGCAGUGGGGAAUAUUGCACAAUGGGCGCAAGCCUGAUGCAGCCAUGCCGCGUGUAUGAAGAAGGCCUUCGGGUUGUAAAGUACUUUCAGCGAGGAGGCGUUACUCGCAGAAGAAGCACCGGCUAACUCCGUGCCAGCAGCCGCGGUAAUAC
rnacentral:rRNA from 1 species